rnacentral:piRNA from 1 species
UGAGCUAUUUUAGGCAAAACUCAUUUUAAC